rnacentral:rRNA from 1 species
CGGAGGGGGCUAGCGUUAUUCGGAAUUAUUGGGCGUAAAGGGCGCGUAGGCGGCCCGGUAAGUCAAAGGUGAAAUCCCUCGGCUCAACUGAGGAACUGCCUUUGAAACUGUCGGGCUUGAGGCCGGGAGGGGGUAGCGGAAUUCCCAGUGUAGCGGUGAAAUGCGUAGAUAUUGGGAGGAACACCGGUGGCGAAGGCGGCUACCUGGACCGGUUCUGACGCUGAUGCGCGAAAGCGUGGGUAGCAAACAGGAUUAGAUACCCUGGUAGUCCACGCUGUAAACGAUGAGUGCUCGGUGUCGCGGGUAUCGACCCCUGCGGUGCCUUAGCUAACGCGUUAAGCACUCCGCCUGGGGAGUACGGUCGCAAGGCUG